UAAGAAGUAGCCUGCUCAUGAAUAUGCAAAAUACUUGAGUCUGUGGUGGUAAAUACAAGGAAGUCCACACCCCAGAACAACAUAUGAUCAGUGUCCUGUCCACAGUCACUGAGCACACAGGUCCUCACCAUGGGAUGGAGCUGGAUCAUUCUCUUCGCUUCCUUUCUCUCCACAGGUGUCCACUGCCAGGUCCAGCUGCAGCAGUCUGGGGCUGAUCUGGGGAAACCUGGGUCCACAGUGAAGUUGUCCUGCAAGGCUUCAGGCUACACCUGCACUGACUAUGCUAUGCACUGGGUGAGGCAGAGGCCUGGACAGGGCCUGGAGUGGAUUGGAUACAUUGUUCCUGGAAGUAGUAGUACUGGCUACAAUCAGAAAUUCCAGGGCAAGGCCAAACUGACUGCAGACACAUCCUCCAGCACAGCCUACAUGGAGCUCAGGAGCCUGACAUCUGAGGACUCUGCAGUCUAUUACUGUGCAAGAGACAGUGUUGCAACCACAUCCUGAGUGUGUAAUAAACCCUGGAGGAGCAGGAAGCUAA